GUGUUAUUAUAUAUGUAGUUAGUAACUUUUACAGAGUAUUCCAUUGACGUUGAAGAGGUGAGAGGUUCGAAUCCUCUAUUGCCCACCA
rnacentral:tRNA from 1 species